CCAAUAGCGUAUAUUAAAGUUGUUGCAGUUAAAAAGCUCGUAGUUGAAUUUCGGGAUCAAUUUGUUGGUCGUGCCUCGGUACGUACUGGUAUUAUUGGUUUCUACCUUCGGAAGAACCUUGAUGUCAUUAAUUUGGUGUCUUGGGGAAUCAGGACUGUUACUGUGAAAAAAUUAGAGUGUUUAAAGCAAGCAUACGCUUGAAUACAUUAGCAUGGAAUAAUGAAAUAGGACGUUUGAUUCUAUUUUGUUGGUUUCUAGGAUCGACGUAAUGAUUAAUAGGGAUAGUUGGGGGCAUUAGUAUUCAAUUGUCAGAGGUGAAAUUCUUGGAUUUAUUGAAGACUAACUACUGCGAAAGCAUUUGCCAAGGAUGUUUUCAUUAAUCAAGAACGAAAGUUAGGGGAUCGAAGACGAUCAGAUACCGUCGUAGUCUUAACCAUAAACUAUGCCGACUAGGGAUCGGAUGAUGUUAAUUUUUUAAUGACUCAUUCGGCGCCUUACG
rnacentral:rRNA from 1 species